rnacentral:rRNA from 1 species
UGUGAGACAGGUGCUGCAUGGCUGUCGUCAGCUCGUGUUGUGAAAUGUUGGGUUAAGUCCCGCAACGAGCGCAACCCUUAUCCUUUGUUGCCAGCGGUCCGGCCGGGAACUCAAAGGAGACUGCCAGUGAUAAACUGGAGGAAGGUGGGGAUGACGUCAAGUCAUCAUGGCCCUUACGACCAGGGCUACACACGUGCUACAAUGGCGCAUACAAAGAGAAGCGACCUCGCGAGAGCAAGCGGACCUCAUAAAGUGCGUCGUAGUCCGGAUUGGAGUCUGCAACUCGACUCCAUGAAGUCGGAAUCGCUAGUAAUCGUGGAUCAGAAUGCCACGGUGAAUACGUUCCCGGGCCUUGUACACACCGCCCGUCACACCAUGGGAGUGGGUUGCAAAAGAAGUAGGUAGCUUAACCUUCGGGAGGGCGCUUACCACUUUGUGAUUCAUGACUGGGGUGAAGUCGUAACAAGGUAACCGUAGGGGAACCUGCGGUUGGAUCAC